AUUUGGAGAGGAUGCUUUUGGCGCGGCGCCGUCCGAGUUCCUUGGAACAGGACGCCACAGAGGGUGAGAGCCCCGUACGGACGGACGCCUAGCCUCUACAAAGCUCCUUCGACGAGUCGAGUAGUUUGGGAAUGCUGCUCAAAAUGGGAGGUAAAUUUCUUCUAAAGCUAAAUACCGGCCAGAGACCGAUAGCGCACAAGUAGAGUGAUCGAAAGAUGAAAAGCACUUUGAAAAGAGGGUUAAACAGUACGUGAAAUUGUUGAAAGGGAAGCGCCUGUGACCAGACUUGCGCCCCGCGGACCACCCGGCGUCUUCGCCGGUGCACUCCGCGGGGCGCAGGCCAGCAUCGGUUCUCCUGGGGGGACAAAGGCCGCGGGAACGUAGCUCCUUCGGGCGUGUUAUAGCCCGCGGCGCCAUGCCUCUGGGGGGACCGAGGACCGCGCUUCGGCAAGGAUGCUGGCGUAAUGGUCAUCAGCGACCCGUCUUGAAACACGGACCAAGGAGUCAAGCAUUGGGGCGAGUGUUUGGGUGCCAAACCCGCACGCGAAAUGAAAGUAAACGCAGGUGAGAGCUUCGGCGCAUCAUCGACCGAUCCUGAUGUCUUCGGAUGGAUUUGAGUAAGAGCCUUACCGCUUGGACCCGAAAGAUGGUGAACUAUGCCUGGAUAGGGUGAAGCCAGAGGAAACUCUGGUGGAGG
rnacentral:rRNA from 1 species